UACGUAGGGGGCAAGCGUUGUCCGGAUUUAUUGGGCGUAAAGAGCGUGUAGGCGGCCAGGUAGGUCGGUUGUGAAAACUAGAGGCUCAACCUCUAGACGUCGACCGAAACCAUCUGGCUAGAGUCCGGAAGAGGAGAGUGGAAUUCCUGGUGUAGCGGUGAAAUGCGCAGAUAUCAGGAAGAACACCGGUGGCGAAGGCGG
rnacentral:rRNA from 1 species